CUGCACGAGGCGAGGAAGGACUCUUGACCAACUGUUUAAGUGAAGACUAUUCUUCUGUCGUUCAGCAGCCGAUAGUUCAGCCCCAUUCCUGCAAACAGGAAGACACUAGCAACUAUGAGGAUGAUCCCACAGCCCUGUAGUGCAAGGGCUGGUACUGACUGAAAAACUACAGACCCUACAUGCUCAUGGCUUUUCACUUACAAGCUUGAAAAGGGCUUUAUCGUCAUCUGAUUGACCAGCCCAGAGUGACAUCAUGAAGUGUCUCAUUCAUCUCAUCAGUGCAAGAACACAAACAAAACCCCUGGUGGUCUUCCAGUCUCAAAGCACAAGAGAAAAGAAUGGCUGCUUGUCUUGGAUGGUACUGUAGCUCACCUCCGCCGUACGUGACGGCUAACAUGAUGGAGGAGAUCCAGGACACCUGGCUACUUGUCACAUU